UACGUAGGGGGCAAGCGUUGUCCGGAUUUAUUGGGCGUAAAGAGCGUGUAGGCGGCUGGGUAGGUCUGCUGUGAAAACUCGAGGCUCAACCUCGAGACGUCGGCGGAAACCCUCCAGCUAGAGUCCGGAAGAGGAGAGUGGAAUUCCUGGUGUAGCGGUGAAAUGCGCAGAUAUCAGGAAGAACACCCGUGGCGAAAGCGGCUCUCUGGGACGGUACUGACGCUGUGACGCGAAAGCGUGGGGAGCGAACAGG
rnacentral:rRNA from 1 species